GACGAACGCUGGCGGCGUGCCUAAUACAUGCAAGUCGAACGCACUCUCGUUAGAUUGAAGAAGCUUGCUUCUGAUUGAUAACAUUUGAGUGAGUGGCGGACGGGUGAGUAACACGUGGGUAACCUGCCCUAAAGUGGGGGAUAACAUUUGGAAACAGAUGCUAAUACCGCAUAAAACCUAGCACCGCAUGGUGCAAGGUUGAAAGAUGGUUUCGGCUAUCACUUUAGGAUGGACCCGCGGUGCAUUAGUUAGUUGGUGAGGUAAAGGCUCACCAAGACCGUGAUGCAUAGCCGACCUGAGAGGGUAAUCGGCCACACUGGGACUGAGACACGGCCCAGACUCCUACGGGAGGCAGCAGUAGGGAAUCUUCCACAAUGGACGAAAGUCUGAUGGAGCAACGCCGCGUGAGUGAAGAAGGUUUUCGGAUCGUAAAACUCUGUUGUUGGAGAAGAACGUAUUUGAUAGUAACUGAUCAGGUAGUGACGGUAUCCAACCAGAAAGCCACGGCUAACUACGUG
rnacentral:rRNA from 3 species